GAUGAACGCUGGCGGCGUGCCUAAUACAUGCAAGUCGAGCGAAUGGAUUAAGAGCUUGCUCUUAUGAAGUUAGCGGCGGACGGGUGAGUAACACGUGGGUAACCUGCCCAUAAGACUGGGAUAACUCCGGGAAACCGGGGCUAAUACCGGAUAACAUUUUGAACCGCAUGGUUCGAAAUUGAAAGGCGGCUUCGGCUGUCACUUAUGGAUGGACCCGCGUCGCAUUAGCUAGUUGGUGAGGUAACGGCUCACCAAGGGAACGAUGCGUAGCCGACCUGAGAGGGUGAUCGGCCACACUGGGACUGAGACACGGCCCAGACUCCUACGGGAGGCAGCAGUAGGGAAUCUUCCGCAAUGGACUAAAGUCUGACGGAGCAACGCCGCGUGAGUGAUGAAGGCUUUCGGGUCGUAAAACUCUGUUGUUAGGGAAGAACAAGUGCUAGUUGAAUAAGCUGGCACCUUGACGGUACCUAACCAGAAAGCCACGGCUAACUACGUGCCAGCCGCCGCCGUAA
rnacentral:rRNA from 1 species